rnacentral:misc_RNA from 1 species
GAAAUGCGAUAAGUAAUGUGAAUUGCAGAAUUCAGUGAAUCAUCGAAUCUUUGAACGCACCUUGCGCUCCUUGGUAUUCCUUGGAGCAUGCCUGUUUGAGUAUCAUGAAAUCUUCAAAGUAAAUCUUUUGUUAACUCAAUUGGUUUCUACUUUGGUAUUGGAGGUCUUUGCAGCUUCACAACUGCUCUUCUUUGUUCAUUAGCUGGAUCUCAGUGUUAUGCUUGGUUCCACUCGGCGUGAUAAGUUAUCUAUCGCUGAGGACACUGUAAAAGGUGGCCAAGGUAAAUGCAGAUGAACCGCUUCUAAUAGUCCAUUGACUUGGACAAUACUUUUAUGAUCUGAUCUCAAAUCAGGUAGGACUACCCGCUGAACUUAAGC